rnacentral:rRNA from 1 species
AUCAUGGCUCAGGAUGAACGCUAGCUACAGGCUUAACACAUGCAAGUCGAGGGGUCUGCUUCGGCAGACGACCGGCGCACGGGUGAGUAACGCGUAUCCAACCUGCCCUUCAUAUUGGGAUAGCCUCUCGAAAAGGGAGAUUAAUACCGAAUAACAUGAGAAGUUUGCAUGAAUCUCUCAUGAAAGCUCCGGCGAUGAAGGAUGGGGAUGCGUUCCAUUAGGUAGUAGGCGGGGUAACGGCCCACCUAGCCGACGAUGGAUAGGGGUUCUGAGAGGAAGGUCCCCCACACUGGAACUGAGACACGGUCCAGACUCCUACGGGAGGCAGCAGUGAGGAAUAUUGGUCAAUGGUCUGACGACUGAACCAGCCAUGCCGCGUGAAGGUCACGGCCCUAUGGGUCUUAAACUUCUUUUGCGAGGGAGCAAUAAGGUCUACGUGUAGGCUGAUGAGAGUACCUCGCGAAUAAGCAUCGGCUAACUCCGUG